UCCGGUUUGACACCGGCAGUCUCGCUAGAGUCCCCGCCAUUACGCGCUGGCAACUAGCGAUAAGGGUUGCGCUCGUUAAGGGACUUAACCCGACACUUCACAGCACGAGCUGACGACAGCCAUGCAGCACCUGUGCACGUUCCACCCGAAGGUGUCAUUCCUGUUUCCAGAAACUAAUCCGUGCAUGUCAAACCCAGGUAAGGUUCUUCGCGUUGCUUCGAAUUAAGCAACAUGCUCCACCGCUUGUGUGAGCCCCCGUCAAUUCCUUUGAGUUUUAGCCUUGCGACCGUACUCCCCAGGCGGCGCACUUAAUGAUUUCUCUACGACCGGCAACGGGUCAGACCGUCACCGAUCUAGUGCGCAUCGUUUACGGCGUGGACUAC
rnacentral:misc_RNA from 1 species